GCGAAUGGGAGCGCGCCACGCCGCUGCAUACGUCAUUUUACGCCCUCGCCCUCCUCUGCUGCGCAGAAACGUAUUUGCGGAGACUUUUGAAACACAGUCAAAAUCAAAGACAAACAAGAGAAGAGUCGCGUGCAGCAAACCUGCUUAACUGUGUCACAGUCCGAAGCUGCGAACAGCCUGGUUGCUCGACGCCUACGUAGAUAAACUGCAUAAAGGUGCCCCUCGUGAAGCCGUCGUGCGCAAUGACAGUGACGCGGAAAGAUGUUGACAAGCUGGUACGAGCUAUCUUCGACGACAAACCAGUUCGGAAUACAAUUCGUGGAACGCUUAUCGGCACAGGUAUCGCUGCGUGCUGUAUGCUCGCCGGUGGCUUACUUAUGGGGCCAGUUGGUCUUGCUAUCGGUGGCGUCGUGGGAACUACAGUGGCAUACUACACGCAAGCGGGAAAGUUCGACUCACUGGUUGUCGCCUUCCAGAAAAUGCCCAAAGCAAAACGGGAAGAGUUGCGACUCAGACUUAAGGAAAUGUAUAAAAACUUUGAUAUGGGUGAUCUAAUAGCCUUGCUCGUAAAAUGUGAAAAUCAGCGAAAUAACUUCGUAGAUAUGGUAUCUUCAUUCACUGAAGAGACUGAUGGCGCUAGUCCAGGCAGCACAAAGUCAGAGAUAAACAACGACAACCAAUAGAUCGUGACUAUGGCCUGGAGUGAUUCGCCGCUGGAGAACAGUACACUUCCCAUUAACCGGGAAACAUGAGAUGUGAGAUAUGAAACUGAAGUUAUGUGCAAGUACAACACUUAAACUCCCCUACACUGGCUGCGCAGCGCUACGUCCCUUAGAAAAACAGUUUUCACCUUUUAGUGGUCCUCUUAUGUACUUCUUUUAUACCGUGUCACCUUUCUGUGGUUUGCUCCUUCCUUUGUGCAGUGUAUACAGACAGUCUACCUACUUCUUGUGCGCUUCCUUUGCCUUUCACCGCUGUGGUCGUUUUAACGACUUGGUACGCAGACUGUUGGUAUGCAGACUAUUAAUGUACUACUAUCACUCUAAGAAAAAAAGGAGUAAAACGGGGAGCAAUUACAGCUUCUACUCCCCCAGUCUGCAAUUGCUCCCCAUUUUAGUCCCCUAACCCGAUAUUUAGUCCCGACAUUUACUCCCCGGGAAUGCAAAUUGUCACUGAACUUCGCGAAUGAUCUCCUGAAUGCGGCAGUCUACGUAAAGGUGUGCCCUUGGUCAAUUUGAACAGCAUAAGGCUGUAAAACACAGCCAACGUAGCAAUUUUCCAUCCAGGCAGAGUAAGAAAGAGUCGGCGCUUCUUUCUCCGCAAAUUGUGCACUAUGUAUGGCGCAAGAUUUUAUAUCACUCGAUACAUCACGGUUGACGGUUUGCUUCAAAGUAUUUUCAUACAUGCAGACGAAUCAUAUACCUGGGACUCUUACAACAGCGCGUGAAAUGCAGUCUCCACUCUGUGACAUUCAUUUACUCCCGCGCAUUUGCUCCCCAGAGGGACUAUUUUUUGUGGCAAUGCAUUUUGUCCCCAAAAGGAGUAAAAGUACUCCCUGUUUUCUUAGAGUGUACAAUAAAGCUUUCAUGCUGUUCA